rnacentral:rRNA from 1 species
CGGACCCUACGGGAGGCAGCAGUGAGGAAUAUUGGUCAAUGGGCGCGAGCCUGAACCAGCCAAGUCGCGUGAGGGAAGACGGUCCUACGGAUUGUAAACCUCUUUUGUCGGGGAGCAAAAGACGCCACGCGUGGCGUUCCGAGAGUACCCGAAGAAAAAGCAUCGGCUAACUCCGUGCCAGCAGCCGCGGUAAUACGGAGGAUGCGGGCGUUAUCCGGAUUUAUUGGGUUUAAAGGGUGCGCAGGCGGAAGAUCAAGUCAGCGGUAAAAUUGAGAGGCUCAACC